rnacentral:rRNA from 1 species
UACGUAGGGGGCAAGCGUUGUCCGGAAUCAUUGGGCGUAAAGAGCGCGUAGGCGGCCCUGUAAGUCCGCUGUGAAAGUCAAGGGCUCAACCCUUGAAUGCCGGUGGAUACUGCGAGGCUAGAGUCCGGAAGGGGCGAGUGGAAUUCCUGGUGUAGCGGUGAAAUGCGCAGAUAUCAGGAGGAACACCAAUGGCGAAGGCAGCUCGCUGGGACGUGACUGACGCUGAGACGCGAAAGCGUGGGGAGCAAACAGG